AAACCAGCACCUCAAGUGGUCAGGAGGAUUAUUGGGCCUAAAGCAUCCGUAGCCUGCUGCAUAAGUUUUCGGUUAAAUCCAUACGCUCAACGUAUGGGCUGCCGGGAAUACUGUGCAGCUAGGGAGUGGGAGAGGUAGACGGUACUCGGUAGGAAGGGGUAAAAUCCUUUGAUCUAUUGAGGACCACCUGUGGCGAAGGCGGUCUACCAGAACACGUUCGACGGUGAGGGAUGAAAGCUGGGGGAGCAAACCGGAUUAGAAACCCCGGUAGUCC
rnacentral:rRNA from 1 species